rnacentral:tRNA from 1 species
GAGUUGCUGUAGCUCAGAGGCAGAGUAUCUGCUUGGCAUACAGAAGGUCCCAGGUUCAAUCCCCAGCAUAUUCA